UACAGAGGUCCCAAGCGUUGUUCGGAUUCACUGGGCGUAAAGGGUGCGUAGGCGGUCGGGUAAGUCUGAUGUGAAAUCUCCGGGCUCAACCCGGAAAUGGCAUUGGAUACUAUCCGGCUCGAGGAAUGGAGGGGAGACUGGAAUACUUGGUGUAGCAGUGAAAUGCGUAGAUAUCAGGAAGAACACCCGUGGCGAAAGCGGCUCUCUGGGACGGUACUGACGCUGAGACGCGAAAGCGUGGGGAGCAAACAGG
rnacentral:rRNA from 1 species